AGGCCUUGCGGGCAGCAUCCUAAUGUCACCCGCGUUGCCUGCUGCCAGUUAGCGAAAUCAGUAAUCGCCUGACGUAGCCCUUUUUGCAGCGUUGUCGUUGGUUUAAUACCUUCCUGUAACCACAGAGAGAUAACUUCAAGGAUGCCUGUCUGGCGAUGCAUUUUGGCAUCCAUUCGCCCAACUAAUUGCCCACGAUGUAAUAACGGCAGAACAAAAUAGCCAUACUGGCGUUUCGGCGCUGGGGUAUAGCACUCCAGCCGGUAGCUAAAAUCAAAAAGCUGCUCUGCGCGUUUGCGAUCCCAGACAACAGGAUCAAAAGGCGAAAGUACCGCGCUGUGCGUUGCAGUGAGCUUUCCGGCCAGCGCUCGCUCGAGUAGCGGCAGCAAAUCAUCAUGCAGCCAAAGAUUGCCCAAUUUUUCAACAUGCACAGCAAUGAUUUGCUGCUGUUCAGCCCUCGCUUCGCGCCACGCCGCCAGUGCCGGACGUUUCAGCCGAUAGUAAUCUGCCAGCCACUGUUCGCGGAAUAUUCCCAGGCUACGCGCACUGUUAUCCAGCAUGA
rnacentral:rRNA from 1 species